GAUGAACGCUAGCUACAGGCUUAACACAUGCAAGUCGCAGGGUAACAUGAGGAAAGCUUGCUUUCCUUGAUGACGACUGGCGCACGGGUGAGUAACGCGUAUCCAACCUUCCCAUAACUACGGGAUAACCCGUUGAAAGACGGCCUAAUACCGUAUGAUAUCGUUUGCUGACAUCAAAUAACGAUUAAAGGUUUAGCGGUUAUGGAUGGGGAUGCGUCUGAUUAGCUUGUUGGCGGGGUAACGGCCCACCAAGGCGACGAUCAGUAGGGGUUCUGAGAGGGAGGUCCCCCACAUGGGAACUGAGACACGGUCCAAACUCCUACGGGAGGCAGCAGUGAGGAAUAUUGGUCAAUGGGCGAGAGCCUGAACCAGCCAAGUAGCGUGCAGGAUGACGGCCCUAUGGGUUGUAAACUGCUUUUAUGUGGGGAUAAAGUGCGUGACGUGUCAUGCAUUGCAGGUACCACAUGAAUAAGGACCGGCUAAUUCCGUG
rnacentral:rRNA from 1 species